GGCUUCGUAGCUCAGCUGGUAGAGCAUGCGCGUACAAAGCGUAGGCGGUGUCCAUGCAUGGGUUCGAAUCCCACGGAGGCUA
rnacentral:tRNA from 1 species